UUAUGUGACCCCAAGUAUAAGGCAAUCUCUGUGCAUGCAUGUAUGCCUGCUUUUGGAAGACAACAUAUAAGGCAAUAACACCAUGUUCAGGGCCAAAAAAAAAAAAAGUAUGCACGUGCACAUACAGAUGUACACGCACACAGACACAAAAAGCAAUGGGCAAUGCAUAUUCAGAUAAAUACAGUUCAUUAGGGGAUGUUUCUUCCUUUACCCUCUCUGGAAUGUGCAGAUGUUCCAAGGCUACUUGAGGUAUGAUGCAGGUUCGAAUAUGAAAAUAGCUCCUCCUAGUGCUCCACAAACUCUUUCUUUGGCACUGCUUCCAGUCAGCCACAGUACUUGGGACUGUGCCAGGAAAAAGGCUGAAGGACAUCUUGGCACAAGGACUCCUCUGGAGCACUGCUCUGGUGCGCAGCUCUGGGGGCCCAGCCAAGCAUUUUGUAUGGACCUUGGAGUAUGGAUACCUACCCCAACAGGUCUGUGGAACUGACCUUUAAAGUAAAGUACUGCUGUGCUGUAAAGCACACAUGCUGUUGCAGCAUGAGCGUGACUUCAGCCAAAAUUAGAUCUUAUGCAAAGUUUGACUUCAGUGUUUCUUCCUGCCUGAGUGUAGGUGGCUUCUAGCUUGCAGAAAACACGGGUGGUAGGCUCCUUUGGGAAAGCCAUGUAUUGCAGGGUCCACCAAAUCCCUAUUUCCGAGCUCAGAGAGGUUUUGUUGGUGAUACUGAGUGGCCAUGUGAAACCCCACCAUGCCCAGAGGAGAGGAGAAGAGAGAGCACUGGCCCUCUGAAUAGCAGCAUGGAUGGUGGGCCGACUCAGAGCACAUACUUUCCACACCAAGGUGCAGGGCAGCUGGCCACAGCUUGACCAGGCAUGCCUGAGGCCCUGCAAUCAGACACAACAGCAGGUUGCCUGGCUGUGACUAGUAUCCAAGCCACUCAGGUUUGGUGGCCCGCAGUUGGCCUGGUGCACCCAAAAGAGCUGAAAGCAGCUUCAUGAGGUUUCUAGCUCAGGAGCAGGGUAGAUACCUCCUUGUGUCAGCUGCAGGCACUUGACUGUCAAAAACAGGUGUGAGGGAGCUUUGGAGCCUUUAGGUGGGGAGAAGGUAGUAUUUCAACUGUCACAGCUAUACUCCCAAUCUCUCCCUAACUCCUCUGUUGAGCAUCUCAGCACUCUGCCCAAUCCAGGUCCUGUCCAGUUGCUUUACAUAGAGUACAUUAAAAGUAUGGUUCUAAAUUUUAGCUGAAUACUGCAAGAUUGCACAAACAGAGGGAAGUAAUAUAACUGACGUUAUGGCAGGAGCUGGAAAUAGUAUGGGGUUCACAGGGUUGUAAAUCUCCAGGAGAGUCAGAAUUUAAAAUAAUACAAUACUGAGGGGACACAGAAUCUGAUGUAGUUACUUCUCAUUUCUAUUGAUCUGAAAGAGGAACUUUACUUUAUCUCAAAUGCAGUGUACCUGAUGGUUUAACUGUCCUUUUAAAGACCUGUGUCUAAAACUGGAAAUAACCCAUCUGUUUAGUAGUUUCUUUUGCUAACUUUAAAAUUGGUGGAAUUAGAAAAAUAAAACAAAAUAAAAUUAAUAUAUUCAUUUAAUUGAAGAUUGGUUUCCAUGCAUGAGGUAAUAAAUAAUCAUAAUGGAGAUUUACAGAAUGUGGCUUUUGUUGCCAAGUAUUUUAUAUUUGUUACUGGAGAAGAUGUUUUAUGUAAGAGCCACCCUCCACAUAGUCUUUCAAAUUUCUUUUCAAACUACUAAAGUGGUCACUGGAGAUGUUGUGAGCUAUUGUAAUUUUGAUUCAUAACAAUCAGUUUUAACAAUCUUACAAAGAAACAUAACUCUAAUUCUUAGUCUGCUUUAAAGGUAACUAUUUGAUAUAUAUCACCAUUAAUAAAUGAAAGGAAUUCCUUUCAGAACCACAAAGGACAUUGUAAUUAACAACACGAUGGUAGGUAAGAAAAUAGGCGGCAAACUAGAGAAGUAAUUGACCACAUAGGGACUGUCUCUAAGUCAUUUAAAAACAGAAAUAUUUCAGGUGCAUAACAUUAAUUUAAUUUAGAUGUAAUAUGAUUUCAGCUGAGGCUGAUUAUUCCUGAACUGAGGGAAUAGUCUGUGGUUUUACAGUUACUGUAAAAAUCUACAGCUGUUAAUCCUAUGAAUACAUUUUUCAUAAACUGACAUGGUUUACCAUUUAAUUACUUUCAGAUCAGAUUUAAAUUAGAUAUAUAUUUGAGAGCAUGAAGAGGAUGUUGUGGGAAAUGUGGAAAACUCUGCUCUGAUACAAAAGACUCUUUUGACAGACUUCUAAAUUCAGUAAAAAAAAACAAAACUAAAUUCACUAAAAAAAAACACCUUAAAUCCAGUGCUUGCAAACUGUGUAGACAGCAAGAGAUUCAGCUAACUAACCAGCUCCCUGUUGGACAUGUGAAGAAAUGUUCCUGCUUCACUGUGAAAAAAAGGUAUUAAUGUGAGAUUGUGGGGGUAAGUGUGCAUCUGGCAUCCCACAGGUGAUAUAAGGAAUGAAACACAUCCCUAGUUAUCCAAAGCACUGUGCCUGGGUAUGAAAAAAGGGUGCUUACAAUAGACCAAUGCUUAUAGCUUUGGAGAAAGAAGAGUACACUAUAUGCAUUACUAUUUCAUGUGGGUGGGUGAUCAUGAUGCCUGUUAAGGGUGCUUUUUGUGGAAAGAGCUACUCCACGUUGAAAAAAA